AGUAGCCAGGCCUGACCCGCUGGUCCCCUACUGGCGGGAGGAAAGAGGCGGCACCAUGAGCCACGCAGUAACCAUCGAGGAGCCCCAGGCCCAGCCGCAGGUGUCUCAAACUCGGUACCGGGAGAGGUCGCGGGCUGGGAGCCACAUCUCCUCCAAUCGAGCGUAUGAUUUUCUGUACGAUCCAUUGUUUAUUGUGUCAAGUGAGAAAGACCACACACAGGCAAAUAUCCAAGCCACCCUGAUUCGCAGCAGACUGGUAUGUCUAAUUCAUCAGCCAAGGCUACCUGAUGAACCUGAACCAUCUAGUUUGCCUGACUGCAUUGAUCAGAUUGACUAAUCACCAAAUCUUCACUGGAUUUUAGGUUCCACAGAAAUUACCUUGCCAAGAUUACUGGAGGGCAAAGCAUCUUAAUACUUGUGGCUCAUUGUGAGGAUUAAGUCACUAAUAAUGAACAGAGAACCCAUAAGCUAAUUU
rnacentral:sRNA from 1 species